UUCUCCCGGAGAGGAAAGAAUAGAAUCAGAUUUUUCCUCUGUUAAUUCGAGAGCUCGAGUCUAUUUUGCGGGAAACGACAAUCGUUUACUGUCUCGAACGAUUGCAUACCGGAUAAGGAGGACGUGACUUCCGAGUUGUUUCCAAGAUUUUAGAAUUUGCAUCAUGGUGGAAAGAGAGUAUCGUUUAAUUCGUUUACGAGAGGAAUUGUUCCAUACUUUCGAGUUGGAUUGAGUGGAGAAUGGAUGAAAUUUGAGGCGAUAAAUAUCUGGAGGAGAGCAUUUCACUAAGAUCCAUUUGUAACUUUAAGAAAAUGGAGAAGAUAAUGAAAGCUUUUCAAUUAUUGCAGAAAAUCAAAAUUUAAAAAAAACACCGAAGAAUAUUGAAUUUCUUCUACGAAAACUUAGAAAAAUUUGGCAAACUUGAAAAUUAUUAAUAAAAUUCAUAAAAACUUGGGAACCUCGAAAUAUUAAAAAAGGGAGGAGAUAAACUUUGGAUAAAGUUAGAUAAAGAAGGGAACCCAAAUCCAAGAUGAUAACCCCUUCUUGAAUAAGAACAUUCACAGAUCCGGAAAAAAAAUCUGUUUCACGUAGAACUGGAUAAAAUUUGAGACAAGGAUUCUUUAUUGUGAAAACGAUGGGAAUGUAAAUAAACGAAGAACUAACGUGAAACAAUAUCAAUUUGACUCUGUUCAUCAGAUUAAGCGCGUAUUAAUUAAAAAGUUUUAUAAACGAAACGAGAGAAACCGGCGAUCUUUGGCUCCGCGAUUAAUCGUGCAAUCUCCUCAUUCAGGAAAAUAUUGUUUAACGAGCGUCAAUCAACGUAGAAUUAUAUUACAUGCAAUGAAUCACUAUACACGUAAUUGAAAUGCAUGGUUGAAUGAUCGAUGAAGUCUUUAUUACAGGGAGGAUUGAAUUAGAAUGGAAUACGAAUUGAAGGGCGAUCGUUCACCUGUUGAUGCGUGAAUACGAUGGGCCGUUGUCCUGGCACACGACGAUCUCCAGGGAGAAGGAUAACGAUUAUUGUCAGAGAGAUGGCUUCCGGUAUCCUUCUAUGGAUACCGUGUUCUUUUUUUCGUUUAUGUUGAUUGUCGUUGGAC